UCCAACUACACGAAAGCUCUACCUUGUUUCACCCGCCAUCUUUGAACCAACCGUUGAAAGUCAUAUUGUAAUAGCACAGUCCAGGUCGUUGAUAAUAGGUGUGUCCAGUACAGUGUCCCAAAACCAAAAAUUAAAUAACUAUUUCAAAACCUAGGCAUACAAGAAGCACGCAAUGAUACUCUCGGCAUUACCAAAUGUAACGAAGAACGACAGACAGUUUUACCCUUGAAAAAGGCCAAAUACACUAGGCCGAAACGUCGGGCAAUACAAAACCAGUCGUUUUGAAUUUCCCUAGACUGAGAAAGCCAGUUUGAAAUCACUAU